rnacentral:rRNA from 1 species
AUUGAACGCUGGCGGCAGGCCUAACACAUGCAAGUCGAACGGUAACAGAAAGCAGCUUGCUGCUUUGCUGACGAGUGGCGGACGGGUGAGUAAUGUCUGGGAAACUGCCUGAUGGAGGGGGAUAACUACUGGAAACGGUAGCUAAUACCGCAUAACGUCGCAAGACCAAGGAGGGGGACCUUCGGGCCUCUUGCCAUCGGAUGUGCCCAGAUGGGAUUAGCUAGUAGGUGGGGUAACGGCUCACCUAGGCGACGAUCCCUAGCUGGUCUGAGAGGAUGACCAGCCACACUGGAACUGAGACACGGUCCAGACUCCUACGGGAGGCAGCAGUGGGGAAUAUUGCACAAUGGGCGCAAGCCUGAUGCAGCCAUGCCGCGUGUAUGAAGAAGGCCUUCGGGUUGUAAAGUACUUUCAGCGGGGAGGAAGGGAGUAAAGUUAAUACCUUUGCUCAUUGACGUUACCCGCAGAAGAAGCACCGGCUAACUCCGUG